rnacentral:rRNA from 1 species
AUUGAACGCUGGCGGCAGGCCUAACACAUGCAAGUCGAAUGGUAACAGGAAACAGCUUGCUGUUUCGCUGACGAGUGGCGGACGGGUGAGUAAUGUCUGGGAAACUGCCUGCUGGAGGGGGAUAACUACUGGAAACGGUAGCUAAUACCGCAUAACGUCGCAAGACCAAAGAGGGGGACCUUCGGGCCUCUUGCCAUCAGAUGUGCCCAGAUGGGAUUAGCUAGUAGGUGGGGUAACGGCUCACCUAGGCGACGAUCCCUAGCUGGUCUGAGAGGAUGACCAGCCACCCUGGAACUGAGACACGGUCCAGAGUCCUGCGGGAGGCAGCAGUGGGGAAUAUUGCACAAUGGGCGCAAGCCUGAUGCAGCCAUGCCGCGUGUAUGAAGGAGGCCUUCGGGUUGUAAAGUACUUUCAGCGGGGAGGAAGGGAGUAAAGUUAAUACCUUGGCUCAUUGACGUUACCCGCAGAAGAAGCACCGGCUAACUCCGUG